GCCGGAGUGGCGGAAUUGGUAGACGCGCUGGACUCAAAAUCCAGUGGGAGGUGACUCCCGUGUCGGUUCGAGCCCGACCUUCGGUA
rnacentral:tRNA from 1 species